GUGGGGUAAUUUUCCGCAAUGGGCGAAAGCCUGACGGAGCAAUGCCGCGUGGAGGUGGAAGGCCUACGGGUCGUCAACUUCUUUUCUCGGAGAAGAAACAAUGACGGUAUCUGAGGAAUAAGCAUCGGCUAACUCUGUGCCA
rnacentral:rRNA from 1 species